rnacentral:tRNA from 1 species
GGAUGGAUUGCCAAUAUUGGAUUAGGGACGGAGCUUAUACCUCCGUAAGGCAAACACCAGAUAAGUGUUGUAAUGUGGGUUCGAUUCCCACUCCAUCCA